GCGCGUGUCACCGUAGGCUGCCGACUGCCGGACUGAAGGCAGAUGCGGAUGACUGCCGGUCAGACACCGUAAGCAGUAUCACCGUGGGAGAACGCGCGAGCGCGAACCGAGCUGAGUUUGCAGCCAGCGCGCGCGCUGGGCGUCUGUCUAAAGCGCUGUCUGUCUGCGUGGCUGCGCAGCCUCCAGCCGCAGGCGACUCUCCUCUGACCAAACCAGCAUCAGGCUCGUCCCGCCGGCCUCUGGCCCAGAAAUAGUGAAAGCUGGUUCGCUCUUGGCUCUCAACUGUAGAAAUCUACUACAGCUACAUUCUUCUCAUUACAGAGUUGAAUCCUGUGAGGUCUUUGUUGAUGUUCUUUCUCCUGCCUGCUGGAACUCGCUGUCUUUUUCCGAGGGGUGGAGAGUUUGGAUGUUAUGGCAAAUGAAAGGAGCUACUUGGCGCGUCGAACCUCCCUUGGAAUUCUGGGAAUGUUUCCUCAUAAUUAUGACAUCCUUGGUGUUGCGGCUCUUGACCCUCUUUCCUCACCUUCACCCCCUCAUAGAGCGCUGUAUGACAGUAACCAGGCACAGGCCAGCGCAGGGAGACAGCCAUGUGGGUCUAAUGAGGGUUUCAGUUUGCAAAAAAUAAUGCAGUGAUUCCAUCAAAAGUCAGAUUUACACAAUUCACCUCUUGCUGCAACUGUACUCACUCAGCCACGGCAUGCUUGGUGCCCAGUGUUUGCUUAUUUAGAUUUGCACCGGAGCUAUGAGGCUAAUACAGCUAACAAGAAAUGUAAGCUUAUAGCCAUCAAUUAGUCUAAACUGCAUUAUCAGCACUUUGCCUCAGUCCUUGUGGAGCUGCAGGGAAACUCUUAAUUUUCCUUGCUUUUUUGAAUGAAAAGAGUUUUCUCUAUUGUGUAUUAUGUAUGUAUGUAACCAUGGCUACAUUUUUAAAGCACAGCAUUAACUUCCCAGUCCAUCAAUGGAAGCCAGGCUGAAAAACGUUUUUACAUGAAAAUGUUUUACAGCCUAGUUUUGGUUUUGAAUUCAUGUCAAUUCACAUUUACAUACAGUAUGUCCUCAUGUUCAGUCUAUAGCGGUUUAGCUCCACCCAUUCAUGCUGAGAUUAUAAGGAGUGUUUCAGUCCAGGCAGCUUUUUGAAGAAGGCACAAUAUAGGGCAGCCAACCAGAACAGAGCUAAUUUGAAUAGGCAGUCUUAUGCAAAAGUUUGGGUGGCUGCAAUCAAAAAUCAGAUUUAUUGACGAGAAUAAGUUAUACAUCCUCUGCAGAG